GAUGAACGCUGGCGGCGUGCCUAAUACAUGCAGGUCGAGCGAACAGACGAGGAGCUUGCUCCUCUGACGUUAGCGGCGGACGGGUGAGUAACACGUGGAUAACCUACCUAUAAGACUGGGAUAACUUCGGGAAACCGGAGCUAAUACCGGAUAAUAUAUUGAACCGCAUGGUUCAAUAGUGAAAGACGGUUUUGCUGUCACUUAUAGAUGGAUCCGCGCCGCAUUAGCUAGUUGGUAAGGUAACGGCUUACCAAGGCAACGAUGCGUAGCCGACCUGAGAGGGUGAUCGGCCACACUGGAACUGAGACACGGUCCAGACUCCUACGGGAGGCAGCAGUAGGGAAUCUUCCGCAAUGGGCGAAAGCUUGACGGAGCAACGCCGCGUGAGUGAUGAAGGUCUUCGGAUCGUAAAACUCUGUUAUUAGGGAAGAACAAAUGUGUAAGUAACUAUGCACGUCUUGACGGUACCUAAUCAGGAAGCCACGGCUAACUACGUG
rnacentral:rRNA from 1 species